AGCACUGGAUGGGCUAGGGGUCCUCACCGGAUUACCAAACCUAACCAAACUCCGAAUACCGAUGAGUAAUAUCUGGCAGACACACUGCGGGUGCUAAGGUCCGUAGUGGAAAGGGAAACAGCCCUAACCGCCAGUUAAGGUCCCCAAGUCAUGGCUAAGUGGGAAAGCAUGUGAGAAUCCCAAAACAACCAGGAGGUUGGCUU
rnacentral:rRNA from 1 species